rnacentral:rRNA from 1 species
AUUGAACGCUGGCGGAAUGCUUUACACAUGCAAGUCGAACGGCAGCACGGACUUCGGUCUGGUGGCGAGUGGCGAACGGGUGAGUAAUGUAUCGGAACGUGCCCAGUCGUGGGGGAUAACGUGGUGAGAAUUACGCUAAUACCGCAUACGAUCUAUGGAUGAAAGCGGGGGAUCGCAAGACCUCGCGCGAUUGGAGCGGCCGAUAUCAGAUUAGGUAGUUGGUGGGGUAAAGGCCCACCAAGCCAACGAUCUGUAGCUGGUCUGAGAGGACGACCAGCCACACUGGAACUGAGACACGGUCCAGACUCCUACGGGAGGCAGCAGUGGGGAAUUUUGGACAAUGGGCGAAAGCCUGAUCCAGCCCUUCCGCGUGCAGGAUGAAGGCCCUCGGGUUGUAAACUGCUUUUGUACAGAACGAAAAGGUUUCUACUAAUACUAGGAGCUCAUGACGGUACUGUAAGAAUAAGCACCGGCUAACUACGUGCCAGCCGCCGCCGUAA